rnacentral:rRNA from 1 species
UAGGGAAUCUUCGGCAAUGGGGGCAACCCUGACCGAGCAACGCCGCGUGAGUGAAGAAGGUUUUCGGAUCGUAAAGCUCUGUUGUUAAGGAAGAACGAGUGUGAGAAUGGAAAGUUCAUACUGUGACGGUACUUAACCAGAAAGGGACGGCUAACUACGUGCCAGCAGCCGCGGUAAUACGUAGGUCCCGAGCGUUGUCCGGAUUUAUUGGGCGUAAAGCGAGCGCAGGCGGUUAGAUAAGUCUGAAGUUAAAGGCAGUGGCUCAACCAUUGUAGGCUUUGGAAACUGUUUAACUUGAGGGCAGAAGGGGAGAGUGGAAUUCCAUGUGUAGCGGUGAAAUGCGUAGAUAUAUGGAGGAACACCGGUGGCGAAAGCGGCUCUCUGGUCUGUAACUGACGCUGAGGCUCGAAAGCGUGGGGAGCGAACAGG